rnacentral:rRNA from 1 species
UACGAAGGGGGCUAGCGUUGUUCGGAAUCACUGGGCGUAAAGCGCACGUAGGCGGAUCUUUAAGUCAGGGGUGAAAUCCCGAGGCUCAACCUCGGAACUGCCUUUGAUACUGGGGAUCUCGAGUCCGGGAGAGGUGAGUGGAACUGCGAGUGUAGAGGUGAAAAUUCGUAGAUAUUCGCAAGAACACCAGUGGCGAAGGCGGCUCACUGGCCCGGAACUGACGCUG